AUUGAACGCUGGCGGCAGGCCUAACACAUGCAAGUCGAGCGAGCGGCGGACGGGUGAGUAAUGUAUGGGGAUCGGCGCGAGAGAGGGGGAUAACUACUGGAAACGGUGGCUAAUACCGCAUAAUAUCGGGGGAGCCCAUAUGGGAUUAGAUAGUAGGUGGGGUAACGGCUCACCUUUGCGACGGUCUUUAGCUGGUCUGAGAGGAUGAUCAGCCACUCGGGGACUGAGACACGGCCCAGACUCCUACGGGAGGCAGCAGUGGGGGAUAUUGCCACAGUGGCGCAAGCCUGAUGCAGCCAUGCCGCGUGUAUGAAGAAGGCCUUAGGGUUGUACAGUACUUUCAGCGGGGAGGCGUUACCCGCAGAAGAAGCACCGGCUAACUCCGUGCCAGCAGCCGCGGUAAUAC
rnacentral:rRNA from 1 species